GACGAACGCUGGCGGCGUGCUUAACACAUGCAAGUCGAACGGAAAGGCCCAGUUUGUUGGGUACUUGAGUGGCGAACGGGUGAGUAACUCGUGGGUGAUCUGCCCUGCACUCUGGGAUAAGCCUGGGAAACUGGGUCUAAUACCGGCCAUGUCCGACCGUCGCACGGUGGUUGGAGGAUAGCUUUUUUGGUGUGGGUCGGGCGCGCGGCCUACCAGCUUGUUGGAGAGGUAAUGUCCUACCAAGGCGAGGACGGGCAGCCGACCUGGGAGGGUGACCGGCCACAAUGGGACUGGGGCGGCGCCCGGAGUCCUACGGGGGCCAGCGAUGGAAGAUAGUGCGCGAAGGGCGGAAGCCUGGUGGAGCGACGCCGCGUGGGGGAUGACGGCCGUCGGGUUGUAAACCUCUUUCGCCAGGGACGAAGCGUGAGUGACGGUACCUGGAGAGGAAGCAACGGCCAACUACGUG
rnacentral:rRNA from 1 species